UUGACUGGGGCGGUCUCCUCCUAAAGAGUAACGGAGGAGCACGAAGGUUGGCUAAUCCUGGUCGGACAUCAGGAGGUUAGUGCAAUGGCAUAAGCCAGCUUGACUGCGAGCGUGACGGCGCGAGCAGGUGCGAAAGCAGGUCAUAGUGAUCCGGUGGUUCUGAAUGGAAGGGCCAUCGCUCAACGGAUAAAAGGUACUCCGGGGAUAACAGGCUGAUACCGCCCAAGAGUUCAUAUCGACGGCGGUGUUUGGCACCUCGAUGUCGGCUCAUCACAUCCUGGGGCUGAAGUAGGUCCCAAGGGUAUGGCUGUUCGCCAUUUAAAGUGGUACGCGAGCUGGGUUUAGAACGUCGUGAGACAGUUCGGUCCCUAUCUGCCGUGGGCGCUGGAGAACUGAGGGGGGCUGCUCCUAGUACGAGAGGACCGGAGUGGACGCAUCACUGGUGUUCGGGUUGUCAUGCCAAUGGCACUGCCCGGUAGCUAAAUGCGGAAGAGAUAAGUGCUGAAAGCAUCUAAGCACGAAACUUGCCCCGAGAUGAGUUCUCCCUGACUCCUUGAGAGUCCUGAAGGAACGUUGAAGACGACGACGUUGAUAGGCCGGGUGUGUAAGCGCAGCGAUGCGUUGAGCUAACCGGUACUAAUGAACCGUGAGGCUUAACCUU
rnacentral:rRNA from 1 species